UGUAGGAGCAAGGCCAGGCAGCGGGAGUCUGUGGCUUAGGCAGAGGAAUGACCUGUGAGCCGCUGGGGGUGCAGGGACGGACAGGGACGGGAUUCAGAAGGAAAAGAAGGUUGGGCCACACCAUGGAAAGAGCCAGGUCUGGCAGGGAGACACCACCCCUCCCAGCUCCAUCCUCCAACUGUCUUUGAGUCUCUGUCUUGAAUUUCCCCAAAUCCUCCCUUCUCACCACCUCCACUGGCCCUAUUCCACCCCUCCCAGCUCUCACUCCUCCCUGCCUUGCCCAUAACAAGUCAAAAAGCUCAAAGCUGCUGGCCAUAUCCAUGUAGCUCUUUUCCCUGCACCUUGUCCCCUCAUCUGUCUUAACUUGAACUCCGGGUGGCUCUGUAGGGGCAGUGGUGGGUGACACACAGGAUCUCCCUGCUUUAGAGCUGGAGAAACUGAGGCCCAGAGAAGUCAUUCCUACUUCUAUUUCAGACCUUGGGCCAUCACCAUCUCCACGAAGCCCUCCCUGCACUCUCUACUACCCUGUCAGGCCUGGUUUUGGGUUAUUUGCUCUCAGAGGACCAAGGAUCUUUGCUGUAGAGAACUGGCCUCAGGUUGCCACUGUCUAUUCCUCCACAUGGAUUAGUUUAUGUCUUUCUAUCUCACUUGGCAUGCAGGAGACACUGGAGAGACACUGAGCGACUGAAUGACAGUUUGGGUUCUUGUGGCAAAUAACAAGAAGAGGUGUUAGUAGAACGUGGAUGGGGCACCACAAGGUCCCCACUUGGGGUAUAAAAAGUCUAGGAAGCUUCUAUAAGGGGUGAUGACCUGGUUGGAGCUUGAAACCUGAGUUUCUGGUAUCAGCUGGAACAUGCAGAAUGGUACCUGGCAGGAGGUGAGCCCCAGCUCCUGUCACCUUCAGGAAUCUGGGUUCAGGGUCCAGUGGUCUAGGUAGCUGGGAAUGUGGGCCUGUGAAGGCCUCUGCCCCAGCUCCAUAACCCCAGGUGACCUUGAGGCAGGCAGGGUGGCAUGCCCUUCCUCUGCUCACUCCCCUUUGUCCAGUGGUAGCCCAGGGGCAUCUGACUCACCUCCUCUUUGCCCCACUUCCCCACAGUGAGAUUUAUUUUUAAGUCACCCCAAAAUCCCUCCAGCCUUCCUGAUUCAGCUCCCCUGUCCUCUGUGAUUCUCUUGUGAAGGUCAACUCAGGGUCCCUGGAGGACUGCAGCCCAUGCACCUCACUGGCUCAGCUCACCCACCCCACCCUGUGGCUCUCCACUCUCCCCCACCAAGUGGCAGAGGCCUCUGUUUUGGGGCUGGAGGUCUUCCCACCAGGAGUCUAGAACAGGCUUAUUUAUGUAGAAUAGAAAAAUUACGUAUUUCAUCCCAUUUUUUUCCUGGUCUUUGACAAAACAAUUCUAUUUGCAUAAGACUAAUAAUUUAGUGACCUCCUUAAAGGCCAUUUUUCUCUUGAUUCUGGCCCAUACAGAGGCCAUGCUCUGUUAGAGUGGGAAAUUAAUUUUUUUUUUGGUCUCAGAUUUACAGCUACAAGCACAGCACUCCAUGAAAAUUCUUUCCAGUGAGUAGUCUGGGCUUAAUAUUCCCCAUACUUAAAAAUUAUGAAGGAGACCUUCCAAACAUUGUGGUUUCUCUGUGUACCGCAUAUCCCUUCUCAUUAUCUGGACCACAGGUCAAUUUCAAAUUUCCCCAUGCAAGCAAAUGACCUAAGGACAGAGAACUCCAAGGUGCUCAAACAACAAGGAAACCAAAGAGAGCAGGCCAGGGCCUCUGUGGUAGUGAGGACCUGACCAGAGAGCCAAGUAAGAUGAGAGCCCCCUGCUACCCAACUCUGAGGGCAAAGCUGCCAGGGAGGGGGAGGGAAGGGGACGUCCUGUCUCUGAGCCUCCACUUUGCCCCAGGAUCACAGAGGUCAGUGUGAGACCUGUGCUGUGCAUCUAAACAGGCUGCCACCAGGUCCCAUGUGGGAGAAGGUGGAUGUCAUCUUAGCAAAAGAGUUUUCUCUUGGACCCCACAGGAGUGGGUCCUGUCCUGGAAGAGGAUGGUCUGGUGGCUGGUCCAGCAGAGCUGCCAGGGUGAGAGGCCAGCACAGAUGUGCACCUAAAUGCAGCCUUGCUCAUGGUGGUGCUGGUGCCCAGAGGCGAACUUGUGCAUUUCUGCUUGGGUGGGCCCUUGGGAGAUGGCACUGAAAGGAGGAGGGGCCUAGGUAGCUCCAAGAUCAUGAGUGCUGUUUGUCCUGUGUAACUUGGUCACCAUGGAAAUACUCUGGUGGUGGGGGCCACAGAGAGUCAGGCCCAAGCUUGCCUCAUAGGUCUGUCUGGGGCUCGAGGGUCCCUCCUCUUAGAAAGGAGAGGCUCAUUACCCACACACAGGCUGCUCCCAGGUUCUCUGCUCCCAGGUUCCACUGAGGACACUGCCAAGGGCAUAGUCAUGCAAGUUGGUCUUUCUGGGGUGGUGUUGGCCCCUGAGUUGAAGUUGGGGAUUUCUGCUUGGGUGGCCUAUGUGUCAAGCACUAAAUGGAGGGGCAUCGGUGACUCCCUGCUCAUGUUUGCUGCUUAUCUUUUGUCCCUUGGUCACUGGAGGUGCUCUGGUUAGAGGUGCUGCAGGUUUUCAUGCUCCAGGCUUGCUGUCUGGUGCUUGGAGUCCCUCUAAUUUUGGAGCAGAUGCUCAGUGCUCCAAGGGCCAGUAUCACAUCUGGAGGGAGGUCUGUAGUCAUAGAAGCCAGUGAUUCCACAGCAUGGACUUUCAAGUGCAGGUGGCCUUUUUUGGGGGUGGUGUUGGUCCCCUGCAUUGAUCUGAGGGGUUUCUGCUUGGGAUUACUUUGGAGAUGGCACUAAAAUUAGAAGCACCCAUAGCUAGGAUGUCAUAGCAGGUCCAAAGCCAGAACCUAGACUCUCCAGUCUUUGAACCCAAAGGUGCCGGAUGCCAGCCUUGCCUGCCUUGAGGGUAGUAGUUGUCAAGUGCUUCACAGUCAUUUCCCAGGAGCAUUGCUGGCACAGUCAGGCAUUUCAUUUAGAUGAAUCCAAACCAGGGGAGCAGAUUUUUGAGCAGUAUUGGAUGUGGGGAUAUAUAAUGUGACUGGUUUUCUAGAAGGUAACCUCAUUACCCUGGUUCCUGAUGGGCACUGCUGAAAAUACAGAACCAUCUGGAGGACUGAUGGAUAGAAGCAAUUCAAGGAAGAAUAAGGAUGAUGUCUUUUAGAAAUGCUAUAGGAAUAUUUGUUUGGGGGUCAAUAAAUAACAUGCUUAGAGUUUAAUAAAUAUUUUGUUAUGUCAUCAUAGUUUCUACAUUUUUGUAUUCUAGUAGAAUUUUAUCUAGUUUUAAUAUUUGUUUUUUGAGCAGACAUCUUUAUCUUGAGAGAUAUCAUUUAGAGUUACUUUUUCAAAAUUUGCAGCUGUGUAAAUCCAGAUGCUUGGUGAAGCUGCUGUGGUGUGAGGAAAGCCUCUCCCGUUAGGCCAGGAGCCUGUAGGGCAACAUCAGCACAUAUGAAACCUGCUGUGUAUUAUAAGCAACAGGAAAUAGCACAGAAGCUGCAAGUGCAUUUAGGUCAUUUGGAAGUUGAAUUCUUGUCAUAUCUUCACUUUGCUUAACAUAUCUUCUCCCCUUUAGUUCUUUCUUAUAGUAAUUUGAAGCUGAUGAAUUCAUUGGUAUUUUCAGGAGAGCAUAUACAAUUAAAAUAUUUUUAAAUUCAGUAUCAGUUCAAAGAACUUAGCAUCACUUGCCUCUCACCUUUGGUGGGAAGGUAAUGAGCAGACACUUAGCUCUGUGUGCACAAGGACGAUGGUCCUGAGUCUCCUGGGAUGGCUAGCUAAAUCUGGAAGUUCCUUAGGAGAUGGAAAGACAUCAGCUCCUCAUGUUCCAUUCAAAGUGAGCACAGGGCGCUCAGUGAACAUGCAUUAGGUUAAUGAGUGUCCUCUGCAGGGACUGGUCUCCUAUUCCCUUUCCAGACCUCAAAGCUGAAUUGUCUGUCCUUCUCUCUGCUCCAGUAGCCUCAGCUAUUGAGUACUAUUGCCCCUGAGAUGCUUCUUGUUCAUACUACUGGGAUCUUGCCUCCAAAGUUUACUUGGAAGAAUAGGAGGAAACUGUUGCUUUAAACUGCACAUAAAACAAAAGGAAGUGGCUUUGCCUUUCCCUAAAGACAUGGAGAAAGAGAAGUCCGUUCCGUGGUCGUGGCCAUGCUAUGGAACAAAUUCUUGGCCACUCCACACCAUCCUUGCUUCUUAUAUGUUUUGUGCAUCAGUGAAUUUUUUAGCCCAAGCAUUUUCACCUAUGGGAGGCGUGUAGAAACGGAGGCACAGAAAUGCUAGCUCCUUGCCAUUUCAUGGGGUCCUUGGGUCUCUGCCUGCUGCCCCGCCAACUUUCCCCACAAACCUCUGGAAUUUCAGCAGUGCCCUCUACUGUGGGCCUGUGGAGCCAGACUAAGUUAGACUUCCCCUGACUCAAACUUGGAAGUGAUACCCCAUGAGGCUUGUUGAUUUCUGUUUCUUAGAAACCAGAUACUGAUGUGGAUCCCCUGAGAGAGGAGGGAGUAAAGGCUUUGGGCACAGGAUGCUGUGGUGUUUGAAAUCCCCUGUAGUGUCCCCAUCAUACAAUCAGAAGAGACACUGGGGCAAUUUGAUUUCUCACAGGAGUUAAAAUUCUAUGGCAAAGGGGAGGCUAUCUCUGAAAAUAACCCUCCAGGGGUGCAGAGUGGGGACCAUGGCCAAGAGAGGAGGUGACUUUCCCUCUGUCACUGUGGGACUCAGGUCAUGGUAAAGUUGGAUGUCAUCCUUUGUCCCUUACCUUCCUAUGUCAUGUACUCUGUAUGUUUGUGCAUUAGAGAUGCAUGACAACCUCUAAAUCCGAUGUUAGAAUGACCCCCGGGGAACAUGUUGAGAAGCUAUGGAGGCCCUGCAAGGCACAAUGACUUCUUCAGGGCCAUACACAUACCCACAAGAAGGGGAAGGGUCUCAGCCAAGCUCUGUCUCCCCAAACCAAGGGAGCUGGCUACACCCGGGCCUGUCUGAGGGCCUGAUCCAGGGUUUGUUGGUGUAACUAGGUCCACCUGUGCCUAUGUCAUGGGAAGACUGCAGCCCGGUGGGCCAUCGGAACCAUCUUGUGUGAGAAAGGGACUCAGGAAAGGACUUCCUGGGACAGUGACCUCACUUCCUUGGCCAUGGAACUCACAGAACUUGGAACCCUGGUAGCUAGGCACCCACAGUCCACAAACAGUCCCAGUCUGCUCACUGGUGUUGAGACAGCAGGCCCAGAGCCAUGAGUUUUUGUUGCCUACAGAUCUGUGGGUGCUUAAGCCUCAGGGCUUUUCCUGAGUGUGGAGGUGCUGGGUCAGCGCUGUGUCCCCACGACUCUGGCAAUUUUUCCCAAGGAGACCAGAAGUGAGACAGGACAGGGCACCACAGGUUUAAAUAGUUUAACCCACAUUCAGAUUCCCCUUUCAAAAGUGCCAGAUCUCACCAGGUUUGUGAGUGUGUGUGUGUGUGUGUGUGUGUGUGUGUGUGUGUGUGUGUGUGUGUGAGAUGGAGGGAAAAUAUUUUGUUUUGACUGUAUGGCAGUGAUUCCUUUUGCAAAUGGCUACCGUUUUCCUGUUGAACUGUCCCUCGUUGAUUGUCCAUCCUGGGGAGAAGAUGACCAAGGUUCAUCAGUGGAUGUCCUGUCUUGUGGAAACCCUCAGCACUUCUCUGGGAGCGUGAGGAAGGCCUGGUGCCUGCCCUGCAGCAGGGGAACAUCCCCUAUGUCCAUGGGGUUUUGUAUUUGUACUAAGAUUUGGCCAGUACCCAGAAGGCUCUGGAGCUGCUGUGUAAAAGAUGUGUAUCACCUCCAAGCCCUGGCCCAUGGCCAUCUCCUGGCCUGGUGUUGGGAAUGCUGGGCAUCACUCUGGACCUCCGUCAGCUCUGUGGAAAGUAGGGCUUUUCAGAGGAGAACUCUGCCUGGGUGUUUAGAAAUCCAAGUAGGAUGAGCCCUAGGAGUGUUUGCCUCAGAGGGGUCCUGGGACACAGGCUGGCGAUGGCUCUGGCCUUCCCCUGGGGGCCUGUCCCCUCCCUGAGAGGAAGUUCUCUGCCUCAGACCUCACUCUUCUGAGGCCUCAGGAAAAGCAGUUUCCAUAUUUGGGAAGGAGUCUGUGGGUUGCAUCUGGAAGGGUUCCAACCUGCAUGUAGACGGAACAGGGACCCCUGGGGUCAAUUGAGAGGGUCCUGUCCUGAGGUAGCCAGGCAGCAGGUGGUUGGGUUCAUUCAUGGCUCAAAUAUAUAUGAAGCACCUACCUUUGGAAGGCACUUGGCCUAUCAUUUAGGAAUCAGUGCAGACAAACUCUCCCAGCCCUCCUGAGCUCCCCUUAUUGUCAGGAAGUUAGUUAAGUCCACCAGGCAUCUCGACAGAUGAAGGACACAGGAUAUUAGAGGUCACGGCCUCCUGGCCUUCUCUAGGUAUGGACGCCUCCAGGCAGAUGUUGAGGAGGAGUACCUUCAAGGCAAGAAAUCAUGUCUCACCUUCUUCUUAUUCCCUAAGAAACAAGAUUGAAGUUAGACCAGAUAAUAACUCUGUAAUGGACUGAACAGUUGAAAUAAAAGGAAGAGUCCCAUGUUUUGCAUUCCAAAUAGAAAGCUGUGCCUUGGGCUGGCUGUAGCUCAGUGGCAGAGUGCUUGCCUAGAAUGUAUGAGGCACUGAGUUCAAUCCCUAGAACUACAAAACAAACAAACCAAAAAAAAAAAAAA